GACGAACGCUGGCGGCGUGCUUAACACAUGCAAGUCGAACGGUGAAGCGCUUGCCUUUUUGGUGGGUGUGGAUGAGUGGCGAACGGGUGAGUAACACGUGAGUAACCUGCCCUCUUCUUCUGGAUAACCUCAUGAAAGUGGGGCUAAUACGGGGUAUUCCGGGUCUGUCGCAUGGCGGGUUUGGGAAAGAUUGCGCCUUUGGGUGUUUUCGGUGGGGGAUGGGCUCGCGGCCUAUCAGCUUGUUGGUGGGGUGAUGGCCUAGCAAGGCGGUGACGGGUGGCCGGCCUGGGGGGGUGGCCGGCCACACUGGGACUGAGACACGGCCCAGACUCCUGCGGGAGGCAGCAGUGGGGAAUAUUGCACAAUGGGCGCAAGCCUGAUGCAGCGAGGCCGCGUGAGGGAGGGAGGCCUUCGGGUUGUGACCCUCUUUCGCCAGUGAAGCAGGCCUGCUCCUGUGUGGGUGGGUUGACGGUAGCUGGAUAAGAAGCGCCGGCUAACUACGUG
rnacentral:rRNA from 1 species